GGAAGUGGGGGAUGAUGUCAAGUCAGCAUGGCCUUUAUAUCCUGGGCUACACACACGCUACAAUGGCCAACACAAUAGGUUGCUAAGCCGCGAGGUGGCGCCAAUCCAUAAAGUUGGUCUCAGUUCAGAUUGUAGGCUGCAACCCGCCUGCAUGAAGAUGGAGUUGCUAGUAACCGCAGGUCAGCUAUACUGCGGUGAAUACGUUCCCGGGGCUU
rnacentral:rRNA from 1 species